GGGCUCGUAGCUCAGCCAGGCAGAGCAACGGCCUUUUAAGCCGUUGGUCGCGGGUUCAAAUCCCGUCGAGCCCG
rnacentral:tRNA from 1 species